ensembl:snRNA U2 U2 spliceosomal RNA
AUUGCUUCUUGGCCUUUUGGCUAAGAUCAAGUGUAGUAUCUGUUCUUAUCAGUUUAAUAAUGGAUUUUUAUUUUUAUUUUUAUUUAUUUUUCUUGUUAUUUUUGUGUGUGUGUGAAAAUACCGUACAGAGGGGUUACAAUUACAUGGGCAAGGUAAUGAGUGCAUUUCUUAUUAAGCAUUGUUGCCUCCUCCUU